CCGCGCCCCGCCCCCGCCCGCUCUUUCUCCUCGGAUUCUCUCAGGCUAAACUCCGCCCCUUUCCUCCUUUCCUUCCCUUCUAUUCCCCACUCUCUUCUACUCUCCCCUUCUCGGUUUGUCCUAGGCCCAAACCCCGCGCGGGCCCCGCCCCCAUCCGGGUCUGACUGGAUUACGCUGGGUCUCUACUUUUAGCGGGCUAAAAGCACUAGCUCUGACUCCUGACCAAGAAGCCCCGCGGGUCGCGCUACCCCCUGGGAUUUGUAGUCCUCUGGUGCCCCCAUCCUUUCCCCCAAGCUGUAGCUUUGGAGCCGCCGCUCUGGGGAGCUCUGGGCUCUGUAGACCCUGUCCGUCCCCCGAGAAGUGAAGCGGCCCCGGAGUGUCCGAGGCGGGAUCGGCCCUUUGGGCUCCUUGGCCCCAAUCUUUCCGUGCCUCAUCUGUAGAAUGGGGCCAAGUGGCCAACGCUCCCCGCAGCACCGCCGUGACCCGGCUGCGGUGGGGUUCCGGGGCCGUGACGCGCGCACGGGGCUAGCUGAAGCACCUACUCCGGCUAAGCCUUGGCCGAGAUGCUCGCGCUUGACCCUCGCGCCGGCCCGGGGAGAACAUGCUUUAGCUAUAUUCGACCUUGCCGAGGAAAACCUGGAUCCUGACGUGAGCCAGGCCCACAGAAGUGACAAAUGGGCACCCUCUACCCCUCUCCCGGCCUUGAACGAAGAUCUGUAGCACUUCCCAGUAGGACUGGAACCAGAUUAAAAUGUAACUGGGAAGUACUUAACAAUACCAUUAAAAAUACUGAGGAGGACAGAUAUCAUUAACAUGUGGUUUUCU